rnacentral:rRNA from 1 species
CCUACGUGUGGCAGCAGUGGGGAAUAUUGCGCAAUGGGCGAAAGCCUGACGCAGCGACGCCGCGUGAGGGAUGAAGGUCUUCGGGUCGUAAACCUCUUUCCGCAGGGAAGACCGGUCUCUGUGCUAAUCCGCCGUGAAUUGACGUUACCUGCAAAGGAAGCACCGGCUAACUCCGUGCCAGCAGCCGCGGUAAUACUGAGGGUGCGAGCGUUAAUCGGAAUUACUGGGCGUAAAGCGCUCGUAGGCGGUAUGUCAAGUCAAGUGUGAAAUCCCCGCGCUCAACGUGGGAACUGCCUUUGAAAGUGGCAAACUGGAGUGUGUGAGAGGAGAGUGGAAUUCCAGGUGUAGGAGUGAAAUCCGUAGAUAUCUGGAGGAACAUCAGUGGCGAAGGCGACUAUCUGGCACAUAACUGACGCUGAGGAGCGAAAGCGUGGGUAGCAAACAGGAUUAGAUACCCGAGUAGUC